GCCUGGGUGGCUCAGUAGGUUAAAGCUCCUGACUUUGGCUCAGGUCAUGAUCUCAGGCU
rnacentral:tRNA from 1 species